GUGAGUAGAGGCACUCAGAAAUAGCAGAGAAGAGAGGGAGCACGGAAACACAUGGUGAACUAAUGGAUUACUCUCAAAGACUCUUGUGAACUACACAGCACCGACAUACCAUCAACCACACAACCUGGCAAAUACAGUACAGACAUACAAUAUUCACACUGAUUUCACUUCAGCCUCAUACUCAACAAGCUCUCUAUAAAUUUAGAUCACACAGACUUUGAGACAGACAGUUCUAACACAGGUCUCUUAAUCUACAUUAGAGUAAAUAGACAAACGGAUUCUCUGAUUCUGACACAAACACAGACACAAUGGAAAUGCAUGGGCUUCAGUGUUGAACUGAAGGACCAAAGAUGUAAAUUUCGGUGAGGAUUCUGACACCUUUGUGAAACAUCACUGAAGAGCACCACAAGCAAAACAGGACACGCAUGAGGAGGUUGACCAUGCACUGACAAAAAGGCAUGGAAACCAUCUCCGGGGAAAUGGGUUGGAAUAAAUUAGGCCACUCCUCUCUGGCAUCCGUGACAACAGGAAGAACCAACCUCACUUCCUCCCUCUUCUCCGACUUCACAUCCCUCAACAGUUCUCACGAAGGGGCAGGGUCCUAUUACUGGAUUAUCCCCGAGAAUGCCUCAGCCACCACGCCCCAUGCCUUACCCCAGCCCAGGGUGAGGGAUCUGGGUCUGGCCCGGGCAGAGAUAGGGGUCCUGGGCUUGGUGCUGGCCCUCACUACCCUAGGGAAUGGCUUCGUACUGUGGGUGCUGCUCCGCAGGAGGAAACACAACGCUCCGAUGCAUCUGUUCAUGGUCAACCUGUGUCUGGCUGACCUGGUGGUGGCGCUGUUCCAGGUUUUUCCCCAGCUGGUGUGGAACAUCACAGAAAGGUUCCAGGGGCCGGAUUUUCUGUGUCGCUCAGUAAAGUACCUGCAGAUCGUAGGGAUGUUCGCGUCCUCCUAUAUGAUUGUUGCCAUGACAGUGGACCGGCACUAUGCCAUCUGCUGCCCACUGCAGGCCUAUCGUGGUGGGUCCGUGUCCCGCUGGAACACCCCUAUUAUGAUGGCCUGGGGCCUGGCCUUACUUCUCUCUAUACCACAGUUGUUCAUCUUCUCGCGGUCGGAGGUGUCUCCAGGAGAGUUUGAGUGCUGGGCUCACUUUGCUGAGCCGUGGGGACUCAAGGCCUACAUCACCUGGAUGACCCUAGCAGUGUUCUUACUGCCAGCACUAAUCAUCACUGUCUGCCAGAUACGGAUCUUCAGAGAGAUUCACAACAACAUCUAUCUGAAGUCAGAGAGGAUGGUGUCAGCAGAGCUCAAGAAGAACAACGCUGUCAUCUUCCACUUCCACAGAGUCAAAAAGGACGAUGACAGAGCGACCAGGGAGCGGGGGAGAGGGGGAUGCAGAGGGGGGAGAGGAGCAGGAGUAGGAGGGGAGCAGCUUCUAAAGACUAUGAACAACAACCCCUCCAGCACUCUCUGCAACCCUCUCUUACCGCUCUCCCCCCAGUCUACUACAGCUGUUGUACCCUCAGAGUGCUAUCCCUACCUGUCCCCCUCUCCACAGUACAGCAGCUGUCACAACAACCACACAGCAGCAACACAGCAAAGCCCCUUCAACACCCCAGAUAACCUAACCCUCCCCUCCAACCCCGGCCUCAGUGACCAAAGGGGCUCCAGUACAGCUGUAGUUCCCCCAUCAUGUGACCCGUGCCCACAUGGAUCCCAUGGCCCAGUCACCUCAGGUGGUUGUGGUGGUGGUUCAGUGCCUCCUAACAAUGGCGGAUGCCACUGUCAUGAGUCCUACACAUCCUUCGAGCUCCCAUCCUCCCCCCGGUGUGUCUCCUCUCCACGCCCAUCGCUGGAGUACCCUCCCCCACCCCCCCGGGCCCUGACGCCCCCCUCCAUCUCCAAGGCCAUGUCUAAGACGGUGAGGAUGACUCUGGUGAUAGUGUUGGUCUACACAGUCUGCUGGUCCCCCUUCUUCAUCGUUCAGCUGUGGGCCGCCUGGGACCCCAACCCUCCAGACCAAGGCGUAGCGUUCACCAUCCUGAUGCUGCUGGCCAGUCUGAACUCGUGUACCAACCCCUGGAUCUACACCUUCUUCAGCAGCUCUGUGUCCAGGGAGCUACAGGCCCUGUUACGCUGCAGACCAAGAACCCCGCGCAGGGGCUCCAUACCUGACGACUCCACCACCACCACACACACCUCCACCACCAAGGACAGCCUCUACUGACACAUUCAGACACUCACACAGCACACACACUCCACCAAGGACAACUUGUACUGUCUCACACACACACACCACCACCUCCACCGCUGCCAGCACCUAAGACUAGAGGACAGCCCGCACUGACCUUCAGGCAGCAAACACAUUUCCCCCAACACGGAAACAUGGACAUCUGUGUUAUGGCCAGGAAGGAAGGACCCUAUGAAACAUCCCCUGUCUGUCUGUCUGUCUGUCCCCUCUGUCUUCUCUCCCUCACACCGAGGAGGUUGCUAUUGAAUGAGAGGAGAAACGUGAGUCAGCUGAGGAGGACAAAUGGAGGUUCCUAUGCUGAUUAUUGGCUGCAACCCAACUCCAAUCAGAGGCCUGAAGAGAGGAGAGGAAAGAUGAUAUGAAGGUAGAGGAACGGGGGAUGACUUUUACUCUUUUAUUUAGAUCUAGAGUAACUGUCUGAAACCCAGUAGAGGGAGAGGGAGGGUGGGAGGGAGGGAGAGAGAGUGAGCAUUUCCCAUGCCAAUAAAGCCCUUAAAUUGAAUUGAAUUGAGAGACAGAGAGGGAGGGAGAGCGAGUAAGAGUGAGAGUGAAAGAAAUAACUGGAGAGGACCAUUUUUGGAAGCAGAAUAAACAGAGGAUGAGAGCGUGGGAGCAAGCUUGGGAGCAAUCCUUGGAGGAGGGGCGGUUGAAGAAGUGGAAGCUAAUAUUAUGGAUGAACUACAGGAAAUCAAAUCAAAAUGUCUGAGGUGGAAUUCAUCUUCACUCAGAAGAGCGGGAGAGGAAUAUCUGGUUUCAAAGAAAGAAAGAAAGAAAGAAAGAAAGAAAGAAAGAAAGAAAGAAAGAAAGAAAGAAAGAAAGAAAGAAAGAAAGAAAGAAAGAAAGAAAGAAAGAAAGAAAGAAAGAAAGAAAGAAAGAAAGAAAGAAAGAAAGAAAGAAAGAAAGAACAAUGGUGACUUGUGAAAAGAGAAAGAGUCAAACAAGUAAGAGGAGACCUGGGGAGAAAUCAGAAUAAAUACUCUGGAUAAACAAUACUAGACACAUUGGAGCAUGUUAAACAUAGCGAGAAGAGAGAGCGAGAGAGAGAGAGAGAGAGAGAGAAGAGGGAGUGAAUGAAUCUAGCAGACCAAGGCUUCGACAACAAGCUAGGACGCAAUUAUGUGAUUAUAUUUCACAUCUGGAGAGAAAUCAGAUUUUUUAAAUCUGGAUUAACAAUACUAGGCACACGGGAGAAUGUUCAACAUAGCGAGAAGAGAUAGAGAGAGAGAGACUUCUUAGAAGUACUUCUUAGAAGUGCAACACAGCCGCCACCGUCAUGUAUGGAUGUCAUGCUAUGAGGAUAGCUCAUAAACACAUGGAGACGUGACUCUUCACAGACUGCCCACGAGAGAGAUAUCACAUUGCUACUAUGCAGAGAUGACCACAUCUGAAUAUUUUAUGGUGUCAAGUCCAUGCACAAGUAAUAACACAUUAUAGAAAAACCACGAGGAAUUUAAUUUAGACUGUACAAUGUAGGAAAUUACCAUUCCAUGUAAAUCAAUGAUUUUAAAUAUAUUUAUUGAAAGUGUUGCAGAGGCACAGUACAAUACGACCAUUAUUAUUUACAGAUUGUGUAAGAGAUUAUGAUGAAUAUAUACUAUGACCGAUAUACAGGUAACUGGCAAAAUAAAGGAAACACCAACAUAAAGUGUCUUAAUAGGGUGUUGGGGCACCACUAGCCUCCGGAAAACAGCUUCAAUCCACCUUUGCAUAGAUUCUACAAGUGUUUGACACCUUUCCUUCCAUCAUUUGGUGUGUUGUUGACUGUGGUGGAGAUCUGGUGAUCUGAGACACACACACACACACACACACACACACACACACACACACACACACACACACACACACACACACACACACACACACACACAAAUAAUGGGCAACUGGGCAUUUUUUAUAUGACCCUAAGCAUGGUGGGAUGUUCAUUUCUUAAUUAACCAGCUUUCAAUAUACUUUGUAUCCCUCAUUUACGCUUUAGUAGGCCUAAGAGUUGUGUUUUGGAAAUAUAGAAUGAGGGCAUCUGUUGUCUAUUAAUGUGAAACUAUCAUUCAGUUGAUAUCAGGAUCCAAAUUAGCCUGGUCCCAGAUCUGUUUUUGCUGCUUUGCCUAUUGUCAUGGCAAGGCAGCAUAGACAGAUCUGGGACCAGGCUAGAUCCAGAUCACUCAGAACCAAACAAAGUGCCUGUAUUGUUAUAGCCAGUGCUUGACUUGAACUGAAACAUGCUCCGGUACUCGUUUUGGGUGCCUGUACUCUUUAUAUUCACAAUACUUUUGAGCUAAUAUUCAAUAAGAGGAACAGGAGCUCAAGCAGUAGAACAUUUGAGGCACCGGUACUCAGCUCCAGUGAGCUCCUGGCCAAGUCAAGCACUGGUUAUAGCAGCAAUAUAAUAAAUAGUAGAGAGAGGGGCCUCCCUAGCCUGGUUCCAGAUCUGCUAUCUUGCCAACUGACCAUAGGAGUUGGCAAUACAACACAAACAGAUCUGGGACCAGGCUAGGGCCCCAUCCUAGGAUAAUACAGUAUUUACUGUAGGCCUUAUAAUACAGAUCGGGGACCAGGCUAGGGCCCCAUCCUAGGAUAAUACAGUAUUUACUGUAGGCCUUAUAAUACAGAUCUGGUAGUAGAGAGGCCUUAUAAUACAAUAUAAUACAGCAUUUACUGUAGUAGAGGGACCCCACACAUAGGACAAUAUAAUACAGCAUUUACUGUAGUAGAGGGACCCCACACAUAGGACAAUAUAAUACAGUAUUUACUGUAGUAGAGGGACCCCACACAUAGGACAAUAUAAUACAGUAUUUACUGUAGUAGAGGGGCCUCACACAUAGGACAAUAUAAUACAGUAUUUACUGUAGUAGAGGGGCCUCACACAUAGGACAAUAUAAUACAGUAUUUACUGUAGUAGAGGGGCCUCACACAUAGGACAAUAUAAUACAGUAUUUACUGUAGUAGAGGGGCCUCACACAUAGGACAAUAUAAUACAGUAUUUACUGUAGUAGAGGGGCCUCACACAUAGGACAAUAUAAUACAGUAUUUACUGUAGUAGAGGGGCCUCAAACAUAGGACAAUAUAAUACAGUAUUUACUGUAGUAGAGGGGCCUCACACAUAGGACAAUAUAAUACAGUAUUUACUGUAGUAGAGGGACCCCACACAUAGGACAAUAUAAUACAGUAUUUACUGUAGUAGAGGGGCCUCACACAUAGGACAAUAUAAUACAGUAUUUACUGUAGUAGAGGGGCCUCACACAUAUGACAAUAUAAUACAGUAUUUACUGUAGUAGAGGGGCCUCACACAUAGGACAAUAUAAUACAGUAUUUACUGUAGUAGAGGGGCCUCACACAUAGGACAAUAUAAUACAGUAUUUACUGUAGUAGAGGGGCCUCACACAUAGGACAAUAUAAUACAGUAUUUACUGUAGUAGAGGGGCCUCACACAUAGGACAAUAUAAUACAGUAUUUACUGUAGUAGAGGGGCCUCACACAUAUGACAAUAUAAUACAGUAUUUACUGUAGUAGAGGGGCCUCACACAUAGGACAAUAUAAUACAGUAUUUACUGUAGUAGUGGGGCUUCCCUCCAGACAGACAAACCACAAAAAGCAGGGAUCAGAUUCAUAUUAUGUCAGACCUCAAGUCAUGUUAUAUGUUCCACAUGUGUUUUUAUCUCUAAUUUAUUCUAUGUCUAAACAAACGAGAAAGGGACAUGUUUAAGUUCCCGUUGUUGCUACCUUAUGUUCAUGCAUGUAGCGACGUAUGUAUGUCUGUUUUUGUUAUAUUUUCUAUUCCUUAUAUUUAUUUAUAAUAAUACACUAAAUUGACCCUUCAACUGCACGACAGACUUAUGGCAACAAUAAUCUGUUACACACCUUUCUUUAAGAUCAUUAUUACUAUGAUAGCUACAUGCGUACACGUUGUAACUUUACAUGUGUAUUAAAAGAGAUUAAAUCCA